GAGUAUCCAUCCCUCUCGUCUGACGACCUGCCAGCCAGCCACGGCAAAGAAGCCAGCCAGCCAGCCAGCCUGGCAGUUCGUAGUUGACUUUUCUACUGCCCACCCCGACCCGAUGCCCUCCGCCUCCCGACGCAGGCCCCCGCCGCCGCACCGCCGUCGCGCCAUGCUCCCCACCUCCUCCACCCUCUCCGUCGUCUCCGCACCCACGCCGCCGAAGCCGCUCUACCUCCGCCGCUCGCUCAUUGCCGCCGCUGCCGCCUCUCUGGCCGUGCUUCUCCUCCUCGCGGCCGCCUACGCCCCCUGGAGAUCCGACCUCCCACCGGCCGCCCUCCUCGGCCGCCCAGCGGCGCCCACCGCCAGGUUCUACUCCUUCGACCUCGUCCGCGAGUACCCACACGACCCGGACGCCUUCACCCAGGGUCUCUUGUACGGGGGAAAUGACACUCUUUUCGAGUCCACUGGCCUCUACCACAGGUCUUCAGUCCGAAUGGUUGAGCUUCCAACUGGAAAAGUUCUGGUUCACCAUGAAAUGGACGGGGAUAUGUUUGGAGAAGGUCUAACUCUUCUAGGCAGCAGAUUAUUUCAAGUCACCUGGUUGAAGAACAAUGGAUUUAUAUAUGAUCGACAUAACUUCACCAAACGCAAGAGUUUUACUCACAAAAUGCGUGAUGGUUGGGGUCUGGCGACUGAUGGAAAAGUUCUUUUUGGUAGCGAUGGUACUUCAAAGUUAUAUCAGAUGGAUCCAAAGUCAUUUAAAGUCAUGAAAAUGGUGACCGUCAAGUAUCAGGAUAAUGAAGUCCCCUUUAUUAACGAGCUGGAAUAUAUAGAUGGUGAAGUAUGGGCAAAUGUCUGGCAGGUUAGCUGUCUACUUCCUCCUGACUGGCAAUCUCUUAUUAUGAAGUAUCUUAUCUUAGUGGUAACUAUAUAACGACAUUGGGCAAGGACCACUGUAUCUUCGUUAGAAUCUUAGUGCGACCAGGUUGUUGCUUAUUUCUCAUCCAUGAAUGCCUAAUCUAGACCAAAUAUAAAUGAUAUUUAAAAGUUUCACAGCCUAUUAUUUGUUCUGUGUACCUCAGCUCAGCUUUCCUCAGAACAACCAAGUUAACCGAGUUGUUCCUUGUCUGAAGUCUGAACCAUUGAUGCCAAACAGGUGUCUGAGUUGUGUGAGUAUGACACAAUGCAUCCACUCAAAUCGUUCACAAUAACUAGCCAUCUUAGGUGUUAUAUAUGCAUGAUCAAUCUGGAUUAUCUCAGGCUUUCUUUUGUCAAGCGUCUCAUCGUCAUUGGUGUAGUAGCUGAUUAAAUGGCUGACUAAAAGCUCUCCUAAGUCAUAAACUCAUAAUGCAACACGAUAGUAUCAAACCAGUUGCUUGCUUUGUACAAACGCUGAUCAAUUUGAAUUGCUUUCAAAUUCAGCAAUAAGGAUGGUGGAAUUUCUUAUCUCUCUGUCCACCUGUGGCUAAGUGGCUCGUGUGACUUGGCUGUAUUUCCAUCUAUGAUAUGUAGACAGACUGCAUAGCUAGAGUAUCCCCUGAAGAUGGCCAAGUGCUGAGCUGGAUCUUUCUUCAUGAGCUGAGGCGGAACUUGUGGAAUUCUGGUAACACGAAUAUCGAUGUCCUAAACGGAAUAGCUUGGGAUGAAGGAAAUCACAGAUU